GGAAGGAUCAUUGAAUCUAUCACAAUCCACAACCGUGAAAUAUUUUGUUGGCCUCCAUCCGUGCACUUGUGCGGGGAUGGGCCGGCUUUGCUCUGAUUUAAUUCGGGGUGAAGGCGGGGCCUGCGCUUGUCUACUUCCUUCGGGAACGGGCAGGUGUGGGUCGGUCUUUAUUAACCAACCAACACCAAACCAAAAUUCUAAAUAUAACGAGUGCGUGGCUUAGAGCCAACACUCACUAACCAAGACAACUCUCAACAACGGAUAUCUUGGCUCUCGUAACGAUGAAGAACGCAGCGAAAUGCGAUACGUAAUGUGAAUUGCAGAAAUACGUGAACCAUCGAAUCUUUGAACGCAUAUUGCGCUCGCGGCCUCGGCCAAGAGCAUGUCUGCCUCAGCGUCGGGUUAAAACUCGCCCUACUCAAUUCAUUGGGUAUGGUGCGGAUCUGGCUUUCCCGGUUAUUCAAUUAACCGGGUUAGCUGAAGAGCAGAGGUUGAUGCAUGGACCCGCUAAGGGCCUCGACUGGGUAGGCAAUUCGUUGCUGAUGCUUUAGUCGGUGGUCUGGAUCUGUGCUUGUCGACCCAAACCAGGAACUUGGCUUCUGCCAAGAAAACCCCUUUAUCCUCGACCUGAGCUCAGGCAAGAACACCCGCUGAACUUAAGCAUAUCAAUAAGCGGAGGAAAAGAAACUAACAAGGAUUCCCCUAGUAACGGCGAGCGAACCGGGAAUAGCCCAACUUGAAAAUCUCCCUUUGGAGAAUUGUAGUCUAUCGAAGCGCCCUCAGCAGGAGGCAGAGCUCAAGUCGGAUCGAAUGCCGCGUCAGAGAGGGUGAUAACCCCGUCGGCUCUUGCUCUUAUCUGCAACACGAGGUGCUUUCCACGAGUCGGGUUGUUUGGGAAUGCAGCCCUAAUUUGGAGGUAAAUCCCUUCUAAGGCUAAAUACUGACGAGAGACCGAUAGCGAACAAGUACCGUGAGGGAAAGAUGAAAAGAACUUUGAAAAGAGAGUUAAAAGUGCUUGAAAUUGUUGAGGGGGAAGCGUUUGGAGUUCGUAGGUGCGCCCAGGCUUAAGCAAUCCUAACGGAUUGUUGAAUGUGCUGGGUGCUGGUCAAUGUGGAUUGGCUUGGCGGGAUAACAGUUGGGUCUACCCAGGUAACCUAACCAAUGCCGCCGAGCCGAUCAAGGUGUGAAGGGUGCUCUGUCCUCCGGGAUCUGCAUCCUAAAGACAUUGGCAGAAGAGCUUCAACCGGCCCGUCUUGAAACACGGACCAAGGAGUCUAACAUGUAUGCGAGUUGGCGGGUGGUAAACCCGUAAGCGCAAGUAACCUGACUGGUGGGAGGGCCUGUGCCUGCACCAUCGACCGACCAUGUUGCUUUUGCGAAAGGUUUGAGUGCGAGCAUACCUGUUGGGACCCGAAAGAUGGUGAACUAUGCCUGAGCAGGGUGAAGCCAGAGGAAACUCUGGUGGAGGCUCGUAGAUGUGCUGACGUGCAAAUCGCUUUUCAGACUUGGGUAUAGGGGCGAAAGACUAAUCGAACCAUCUAGUAGCUGGUUCCCUC
rnacentral:misc_RNA from 1 species